CGAGAAUGGGAUGCCAGAGGGCAAUGCGAGUGUGUUUGGGAGAGGUCGAGAAUGGGAUGCCAGAGGGCAAUGCGAGUGUGUUUGGGAGAGGUCGAGAAUGGGAUGCCAGAGGGCAAUGCGAGUGUGUUUGGGAGAGGUCGAGAAUGGGAUGCCAGAGGGCAAUGCGAGUGUGUUUGGGAGAGGUCGAGAAUGGGAUGCCAGAGGGCAAUGCGAGUGUGUUUGGGAGAGGUCGAGAAUGGGAUGCCAGAGGGCAAUGCGAGUGUGUUUGGGAGAGGUCGAGAAUGGGAUGCCAGAGGGCAAUGCGAGUGUGUUUGGGAGAGGUCGAGAAUGGGAUGCCAGAGGGCAAUGCGAGUGUGUUUGGGAGAGG